rnacentral:ribozyme from 12 species
AAAAUAACAACAUUAUUCAAAUAUUUUUUUACAAAAAGAUAUUAAAUGGGGAAACUUUUUUUUUUUUUUUUUUUUUUCCGUUCCCUUUACAUAAUCCAAACAUGUAGCACGUGGAUACAAACUGC